rnacentral:rRNA from 1 species
CACGUAGGGGGCAAGCGUUGUCCGGAUUUAUUGGGCGUAAAGAGCGUGUAGGCGGUCCUGUAAGUCCGCUGUGAAAGUCAAGGGCUCAACCCUUGAAUGCCGGUGGAUACUGCAGGACUAGAGUCCGGAAGAGGCGAGUGGAAUUCCUGGUGUAGCGGUGAAAUGCGCAGAUAUCAGGAGGAACACCGAUGGCGAAGGCAGCUCGCUGGGACGGUACUGACGCUGAGACGCGAAAGCGUGGGGAGCAAACAGG